GACGAACGCUGGCGGCGUGCUUAACACAUGCCAGUCGAACGGGCCCGCUCUCUUUUUUGGGGGUGGGUUGAGUGGCGAACGGGUGAGUAUCACGUGAGUAACCUGCCCCCUGCUCCUGGAUAACUGCUUGAAAGGGCGGCUAAUACGGGGUGUGCCGGCUGGUCCGCAUGGGCCUGGUCGGGAUAGUUUCAUCUUCGGGUGUUUCGGUGGGGGAUGGGCUCGCGGCCUAUCAGCUUGUUGGUGGGGUGAUGGCCCACCAAGGCGGUGACGGGUAGCCGGCCUGAGAGGGUGGGCGGCCACACUGGGACUGAGACACGGCCCAGACUCCUGCGGGAGGCAGCAGUGGGGGGUAUUGCACAAUGGGCGGAAGCCUGAUGCAGCGACGUCGCGUGAGGGAUGGAGGCCUUCGGGUUGUGAACCUCUUUCUCCGGUGGUGAAGGCCCUGUCCGUUGCGGCGGGGUAGACGGUAGCCGGGUAUGAAGCGCUGGCUAACUACGUG
rnacentral:rRNA from 1 species